AGCUCAGUUUUCAAAGGAUCAGCCGUGUGUGUGUAUCAUUUAUCUGAUAUACAGACUGUGUUUAAUGGGCCUUUUGCCCACAAAGAAGGGCCCAAUCAUCAGCUGAUUUCCUAUCAGGGCAGAAUUCCAUAUCCUCGCCCUGGAACUCUCUAAAGAAGAUGGACAGAACAUUAAUCUUGUAUAAAACAGGGAAAAGCAUCAGCAGAUACAGCCGUUUUAAGAUUGGGGAAUCCUGGUGUGGUGGUGGGCGCCUGUAGUCCCAGCUACUUGGGAGGCUGAGGCAGGAGAAUGGCGUGAACCCGGGAGGGGAGCUUGCAGUGAGCUGAGAUCACACCACUGCACUCCAGCCUGGGCGACAAAGCGAGACUCUUGUCUCCAAAAAC
rnacentral:lncRNA from 10 species